rnacentral:misc_RNA from 1 species
GAUGAAGAACGCAGCGAAAUGCGAUACGUAAUGUGAAUUGCAGAAUUCAGUGAAUCAUCGAAUCUUUGAACGCAUAUUGCGCUCUCUGGUAUUCCGGAGAGCAUGCUUGUUUGAGUGUCAGUAAACACCUCAACUCCCCUUUCUUUUUUUGAAAUGGGAGCUGGACUUGAGUGAUCCCAACGCUUUUCUCACCGAAAAGUGGCGGGUUACUUGAAAUGCAGGUGCAGCUGGACUUUUCUCUGAGCUAAAAGCAUAUCUAUUUAGUCUGCCUAAAAAACAGAUUAUUACCUUUGCUGCAGCUAACAUAAAGGAGAUUAGUUCUUGUGCUGACUGAUGCAGGAUUCACAGAGACAGCUUCGGCUGGCCUUUGUAAACUCGAUCUCAAAUCAAGUAAGACUACCCGCUGAACUUAAGCAUAUCAAUAAGCGGAGGA